UACGAAGGGGGCUAGCGUUGUUCGGAUUUACUGGGCGUAAAGCGCACGUAGGCGGAUUGUUAAGUCAGGGGUGAAAUCCUGGAGCUCAACUCCAGAACUGCCUUUGAUACUGGCAAUCUAGAGUCCGGAAGAGGUAAGUGGGACUCCUAGUGUAGAGGUGGAAUUCGUAGAUAUUAGGAAGAACACCAGUGGCGAAGGCGGCUUACUGGUCCGGUACUGACGCUGAGGUGCGAAAGCGUGGGGAGCAAACAGG
rnacentral:rRNA from 1 species